rnacentral:rRNA from 1 species
UUGACAUCGAUUUACAUGGAUAACCGUGGUAAUUCUAGAGCUAAUACAUGCUGGUGUGCCCGACUUUUGCGGAAGGGCGGUAUUUAUUAGAUAACAAGCCAAUAUUCCUCUGGUCUAUUGUGGUGACUCAUAAUAACUGAUCGAAUCGCAAGGCCUGUGGCCGCGAUAAGUCAUUCAAGUUUCUGCCCCAUCAGCUUUCGAUGGUAGUGUAUUGGACUACCAUGGCGUUUACGGGUAACGGAGGAUUAGGGUUCGAUUCCGGAGAGGGAGCCUGAGAAACGGCUACCACAUCUAAGGAAGGCAGCAGGCGCGUAAAUUACCCAAUCCUGACUCAGGGAGGUAGUGACAAGAAAUAACGGACCGAGGCCCUCGGGCUUCGGGAUUGCAAUGAGCCGAAUUUACACCCCUUAGCGAGGAUCGAUUGGAGGGCAAGUCUGGUGCCAGCAGCCGCGGUAAUUCCAGCUCCAAUAGCGUAUAUUAAAGUUGUUGCAGUUAAAAAGCUCGUAGUUGGAUUUCUGGGAGGGUGCCAAUGUCCGCCGACGUGCGUGCGCAGCGGCGCCCUUCCAUCCUUCUGUUAACGCCUCUUGGCAUUCAUUUGCUGGUGGCGGGCUCAGAUAUUUUACCUUGAGAAAAUUAGAGUGUUUCAGGCAGGCUAGGCCGGAAUACAUUAGCAUGGAAUAAUGGAAUAGGACUACGGUCUCUUUGUUGGUUUGAGGGACUGCAGUAAUGAUUAAUAGGGAUAGUUGGGGGCAUUAGUAUUUAAUUGUCAGAGGUGGAAUUCUCGGAUUUGUUAAAGACUAACUUAUGCGAAAGCAUUUGCCAAGGAUGUUUUCAUUAAUCAAGAACGAAAGUUAGGGGAUCAAAGACGAUCAGAUACCGUCCUAGUCUUAACCAUAAACUAUGCCGACUCGGGAUCGGGGGCGCGAACUAUCCGCCUUCGGCACCGUAUGAGAAAUCAAAGUCUUUGGGGUUCUGGG